rnacentral:lncRNA from 1 species
CAUAGCCUUAAUUAACGGGCUACACAUAAUGGCUGACGACAGCCAGAGCGUGAAAUGGGAGGAUUCCCCGGAUGAUCAAAAUAAAGUUGUGGAGAAUAUGAAGGAUGAAACAGAGACACAUGAGAACAACAAGAACAGGACUGGAGGCAAGAGUCUUCUCAGACACCCGGGUGUGGUUUCCGGGAAAGGGGAUCUAUCAUUGAGCAGCUGGAGAAGGAGGCUCAGAGGACUCUAAUGCCUUCUCUCAAGAUUGGGACAUGCUGUGCCCCAAUCCUCCUCUCCUUCCUGAGGAGUCUAACUGAUGAGCAAGUCCCAUGUCUUUCUCCAACCUCACAUACAACAACUCUGAAUUUAUAGUCAUAGUGCACCUUCUAACCACAAAUGCGAUUUCAAACACUACACCUAACCCUAAC